rnacentral:rRNA from 1 species
UAGGGAAUCUUCGGCAAUGGACGAAAGUCUGACCGAGCAACGCCGCGUGAGUGAAGAAGGUUUUCGGAUCGUAAAAACUCUGUUGUUAGAGAAGAACAAGGAUGAGAAGAGAAUGUUCAUCCCUUGACGGUAUCUAACCAGAAAGCCACGGCUAACUACGUGCCAGCAGCCGCGGUAAUACGUAGGUGGCAAGCGUUGUCCGGAUUUAUUGGGCGUAAAGCGAGCGCAGGCGGUUCUUUAAGUCUGAUGUGAAAGCCCCCGGCUCAACCGGGGAGGGUCAUUGGAAACUGGGGAACUUGAGUGCAGAAGAGGAGAGUGGAAUUCCAUGUGUAGCGGUGGAAUGCGUAGAUAUAUGGAAGAAUACCAGUGGCGAAGGCGGCUCUCUGGUCUGCAACUGACGCUGAGGCUCGAAAGCAUGGGUAGCGAACAGGAUUAGAUACCCUGGUAGUCCAUGCCGUAAACGAUGAGUGCUAAGUGUUGGGAGGCUUCCGCCUCUCAGUGCUGCAGCUAACGCAUUAAGCACUCCGCCUGGGGAGUACGACCGCA